CCGUAUUCAUAGUCCGGUCUUAAGUUUGUACUUAAGCCUGUCUUCAUGAAGACGGCCUUAUCGGCUGUAAGUUAUGAUGUUUUCAGAGUCAUUCUUUAAGAUAAACUUGAGUAAGUAAAAAGUUUUAAGCAGGAUCUUAUUUUCAGUAAGAUAAGCUUUAGUAAGACCCAACUUAAGACCAAGUCAACGCGUGUUCGUCAAUUUCCGUGAAAAUUCUUAUGUUUCCAACAAUCUCAUUGGUUGAAAAGUACUUAAAUUUUGACAAUGAAGUUUUUUAUUCAAAAUUGUAAACAGAUGUACAAAUGUACCUUAGAAAAUUGUAAGCCUCAAAUUCAAGCCUCUAAUUCAACUAGAAAAUUAUUACCGCAAGAUCAGAAGAAAAUAUGUCAAAAAGGAAAAGUACUAAUUUUACCGCUGUAGAAAAAAAAUAUUUUCUACAAAUUUUAAAAAAUUAUGCCCAAGUAAUUGAAAAUAAAAAGAGUUAUGCUGCUACAUUAAGUGAAAAAAAAGAAGCAUGGGAUUUCAUCGCAACCGACUUUAAUUCAUCUAGUAUAAUUACUGAAAGGCGAAAUGCAGAUCAACUCAAAAAACUUUGGUCAAAUCUAAAAA